UGGGGAAUAUUGCACAAUGGGCGAAAGCCUGAUGCAGCGACGCCGCGUGAGGGAUGACGGCCUUCGGGUUGUAAACCUCUUUCAGCAGGGAAGAAGCGCAAGUGACGGUACCUGCAGAAGAAGCACCGGCUAACUACGUGCCAGCAGCCGCGGUAAUACGUAGGGUGCGAGCGUUGUCCGGAAUUAUUGGGCGUAAAGAGCUCGUAGGCGGCUUGUCGCGUCGGAUGUGAAAGCCCGGGGCUUAACCCCGGGUCUGCAUUCGAUACGGGCAGGCUAGAGUGUGGUAGGGGAGAUCGGAAUUCCUGGUGUAGCGGUGAAAUGCGCAGAUAUCAGGAGGAACACCGGUGGCGAAGGCGGAUCUCUGGGCCAUUACUGACGCUGAGGAGCGAAAGCGUGGGGAGCGAACAGGAUUAGAUACCCUGGUAGUCCACGCCGUAAACGUUGGGAACUAGGUGUUGGCGACAUUCCACGUCGUCGGUGCCGCAGCUAACGCAUUAAGUUCCCCGCCUGGGGAGUACGGCCGCAAGGCUA
rnacentral:rRNA from 1 species